rnacentral:rRNA from 1 species
UACGGAGGGUGCAAGCAUUAAUCGGAUUUAUUGGGCGUAAAGGGCGUGUAGGCGGGUUAGUAAGUCGAAUGUGAAAUUCCAGAGCUCAACUUUGGAACUGCAAUUGAAACUACUAGUCUGGAGGAUUGGCGGAGAAAACGGAAUUCCACAUGUAGCGGUGAAAUGCGUAGAUAUGUGGAAGAACACCUGUGGCGAAAGCGGUUUUCUAGCUUAUUCCUGACGCUGAGGCGCGAGAGCAAGGGGAGCAAACAGG